CCUACGGGAGGCUGCAGUGGGGAAUAUUGCGCAAUGGGCGAAAGCCUGACGCAGCGACGCCGCGUGAGGGAUGAAGGUCUUCGGAUCGUAAACCUCUGUCAGCAGGGAAGAACGGUCACUGUGCUAAUCAGCAGUGACUUGACGGUACCUGCAAAGGAAGCACCGGCUAACUCCGGGCCAGCAGCCGCGGUAAUACGGAGGGUGCGAGUGUGAACCGGAAUUACUGGGCGUAAAGCGCUCGUAGGCGGUAUGUCAAGUCAAGUGUGAAAUCCCCGCGCUCAACGUGGGAACUGCCUUUGAAACUGGCAAACUGGAGUGUGUGAGAGGAUAGUGGAAUUCCAGGUGUAGGAGUGAAAUCCGUAGAUAUCUGGAGGAACAUCCGUGGCGAAGGCGACUAUCUGGCACAUAACUGACGCUGAUGAGCGAAAGCGUGGGUAGCAAACAGGAUUAGAUACCCCAGUAGUC
rnacentral:rRNA from 1 species